ensembl:snRNA U6 U6 spliceosomal RNA
GUGCUGGCUUCCACAGCACAUAUACUAAAAUCGGAACAGUGCAGAGAUUAGCGCCCCUUGUGCAAAGACGACGUGCAAAGGCGUGAAGCGUUCCAUAUUUUA